CCGUUGGCUCAGUGGUAAAGCUGGCUGUUGCCAGCCCGCCCGCCCGGGUUCGAUCCCUGGGAUCGACGGG